CUAUGAAGGAUACAGUGGCUAGAAGUCAUCCUGUCGUCCUGCCUCACAGUAACAUCGUUACCAAAUUCUCAGCAGGUGAACCAAAUGAAAUGGUCAACUGAAAGCCAACCAGGGGUCUCAUCCUGUCACUCUGGCUGGAAUACAGUGGUGUAAUCAUAGCUCACUGCAGCCUCCAUCUCCUGUGUUCAAGUGAUUCUCCUGCUUCAGCUUCCCAAGUAUCUGGGACUACAGCAAAAAAUCACCAUGUACCAACCUAUUCAAACUUAUCCAUGGAUGAAUCUAUCCAGAAGACAGGAGUUCCGAUGCUUGUCUUGCUCUGAAUGUCUGCUUGUCACCUGCUUAGCAUUAUCGACUGUGAUUCUGGGACUCGUUGUUGUU
rnacentral:lncRNA from 1 species